GACGAACGCUGGCGGCGUGCCUAACACAUGCAAGUCGAGCGGAGUUGACAAGAGGAAGUUUUCGGAUGGAAUCUUGCCAGCUUAGCGGCGGACGGGUGAGUAACGCGUGAGCGACCAACCUUGCACAGGGGGAUAACGGACCGAAAGGUUCACUAAUACCGCAUGAGACCACGGUGUUGUAUGACACAGGGGUCAAAGGAGGAAUCCGGUGCAAGACGGGCUCGCGUCCGAUUAGGUAGUUGGAGGGGUAACGGCCCACCAAGCCUAUGAUCGGUAGCCGACCUGAGGGGGUGAUCGGCCAAAUUGGAACUGGGAAACGGUCCAAACUCCUACGGGAGGCAGCAGUGGGGAAUAUUGGGCAAUGGGGGAAACCCUGACCCAGCAACGCCGCGUGAAGGAAGAAGGUUUUCGGAUUGUAAACUUCUGUCCUUGGUGAAGAGAAGAAGACGGUAGCCAAGGAGGAAGCCCCGGCUAACUACGUGCCAGCCGCCGCCGUAA
rnacentral:rRNA from 1 species